rnacentral:rRNA from 1 species
AUUGAACGCUGGCGGCAUGCCUUACACAUGCAAGUCGAACGGCAGCACGGGAGCAAUCCUGGUGGCGAGUGGCGAACGGGUGAGUAAUAUAUCGGAACGUGCCCAGUCGUGGGGGAUAACGCAGCGAAAGCUGUGCUAAUACCGCAUACGAUCUAAGGAUGAAAGCGGGGGAUCGCAAGACCUCGCGCGAUUGGAGCGGCCGAUAUCAGAUUAGCUAGUUGGUGGGGUAAAGGCCCACCAAGGCGACGAUCUGUAGCUGGUCUGAGAGGACGACCAGCCACACUGGAACUGAGACACGGUCCAGACUCCUACGGGAGGCAGCAGUGGGGAAUUUUGGACAAUGGGCGCAAGCCUGAUCCAGCAAUGCCGCGUGCAGGAUGAAGGCCUUCGGGUUGUAAACUGCUUUUGUACGGAACGAAACGGCCCUUUCUAAUACGGGGGGCUAAUGACGGUACCGUAAGAAUAAGCACCGGCUAACUACGUGCCAGCAGCCGCAGUAAGAC